rnacentral:rRNA from 1 species
ACUGCUUGGCGUUGGGCAUCACCGCCCCGGUGGGCCCAAAAAUCAGUGGCGGAGCCGUCGNNUNCAGCGUAGUAAAUCUCUCGCUGUAGAGUCGCGACGUCCCCGCCAGCAACCACCAAAUUUUACAAGGUUGACCUCGGAUCAGGUAGGGAUACCCGCUGAACUUAAGCAUAUCAAUAAGCGGAGGAAAAGAAACCAACAGGGAUUGCCUCAGUAACGGCGAGUGAAGCGGCAACAGCUCAAAUCUGAAAUCUGGCCUCGCGGUCCGAGUUGUAAUUUGUAGAGGAUGCUUCGGGCGUGGUCCGGUCUAAGUCCCUUGGAAUAGGGCAUCACAGAGGGUGAGAAUCCCGUACGUGACCGGGUGCCUAGGUCCAUGUGAAGCUCCUUCAACGAGUCGAGUUGUUUGGGAAUGCAGCUCUAAAUGGGUGGUAAAUUUCAUCUAAAGCUAAAUAUUGGCCAGAGACCGAUAGCGCACAAGUAGAGUGAUCGAAAGAUGAAAAGCACUUUGGAAAGAGGGUUAAACAGUACGUGAAAUUGUUGAAAGGGAAGCGCUUGCAACCAGACUUGCAUUUAGUUGAUCAUCCGAUGUUCUCACCGGUGCACUCUGCUAGAUUCAGGCCAGCAUCGGUUUCGGUGGUUAGAUAAAGGCCCCAGGAAUGUGGCUUCCUCCGGGGAGUGUUAUAGCCUGGGGUGCAAUGUAGCCCACUGGGACCGAGGACCGCGCUUCGGCUAGGAUGCUGGCGUAAUGGUUGUAAGCGACC